GACGAACGCUGGCGGCGUGCCUAAUACAUGCAAGUCGAACGAACUCUGGUAUUGAUUGGUGCUUGCAUCAUGAUUUACAUUUGAGUGAGUGGCGAACUGGUGAGUAACACGUGGGAAACCUGCCCAGAAGCGGGGGAUAACACCUGGAAACAGAUGCUAAUACCGCAUAACAACUUGGACCGCAUGGUCCGAGCUUGAAAGAUGGCUUCGGCUAUCACUUUUGGAUGGUCCCGCGGCGUAUUAGCUAGAUGGUGGGGUAACGGCUCACCAUGGCAAUGAUACGUAGCCGACCUGAGAGGGUAAUCGGCCACAUUGGGACUGAGACACGGCCCAAACUCCUACGGGAGGCAGCAGUAGGGAAUCUUCCACAAUGGACGAAAGUCUGAUGGAGCAACGCCGCGUGAGUGAAGAAGGGUUUCGGCUCGUAAAACUCUGUUGUUAAAGAAGAACAUAUCUGAGAGUAACUGUUCAGGUAUUGACGGUAUUUAACCAGAAAGCCACGGCUAACUACGUGCCAGCAGCCGCGGUAAUACGUAGGUGGCAAGCGUUGUCCGGAUUUAUUGGGCGUAAAGCGAGCGCAGGCGGUUUUUUAAGUCUGAUGUGAAAGCCUUCGGCUCAACCGAAGAAGUGCAUCGGAAACUGGGAAACUUGAGUGCAGAAGAGGACAGUGGAACUCCAUGUGUAGCGGUGAAAUGCGUAGAUAUAUGGAAGAACACCAGUGGCGAAGGCGGCUGUCUGGUCUGUAACUGACGCUGAGGCUCGAAAGUAUGGGUAGCAAACAGGAUUAGAUACCCUGGUAGUCCAUACCGUAAACGAUGAAUGCUAAGUGUUGGAGGGUUCCCGCCCUUCAGUGCUGCAGCUAACGCAUUAAGCAUUCCGCCUGGGGAGUACGGCCGCAAGGCUGAAACUCAAAGGAAUUGACGGGGGCCCGCACAAGCGGUGGAGCAUGUGGUUUAAUUCGAAGCUACGCGAAGAACCUUACCAGGUCUUGACAUACUAUGCAAAUCUAAGAGAUUAGACGUUCCCUUCGGGGACAUGGAUACAGGUGGUGCAUGGUUGUCGUCAGCUCGUGUCGUGAGAUGUUGGGUUAAGUCCCGCAACGAGCGCAACCCUUAUUAUCAGUUGCCAGCAUUAAGUUGGGCACUCUGGUGAGACUGCCGGUGACAAACCGGAGGAAGGUGGGGAUGACGUCAAAUCAUCAUGCCCCUUAUGACCUGGGCUACACACGUGCUACAAUGGAUGGUACAACGAGUUGCGAACUCGCGAGAGUAAGCUAAUCUCUUAAAGCCAUUCUCAGUUCGGAUUGUAGGCUGCAACUCGCCUACAUGAAGUCGGAAUCGCUAGUAAUCGCGGAUCAGCAUGCCGCGGUGAAUACGUUCCCGGGCCUUGUACACACCGCCCGUCACACCAUGAGAGUUUGUAACACCCAAAGUCGGUGGGGUAACCUUUUAGGAACCAGCCGCCUAAGGCGGGACAGAUGAUUAGGGUG
rnacentral:rRNA from 1 species